UACGUAGGGUGCAAGCGUUAUCCGGAAUUAUUGGGCGUAAAGAGCUCGUAGGCGGUUUGUCGCGUCUGCUGUGAAAACUCGGGGCUUAACCCCGGGCCUGCAGUGGGUACGGGCAGACUAGAGUGCGGUAGGGGAGACUGGAAUUCCUGGUGUAGCGGUGAAAUGCGCAGAUAUCAGGAGGAACACCGGUGGCGAAGGCGGGUCUCUGGGCCGUAACUGACGCUGAUGCACGAAAGCUAGGGGAGCAAACAGG
rnacentral:rRNA from 1 species